CCAAUAGCGUAUAUUAGUGUUGUUGCGGUUAAAAAGCUCGUAGUUGAAUUUCGGGAUUGGGAUAUAUCGGUCAUGCCUUUAGGGACAUGAAUCGGUGUGUGAUCAAUUCUCACCUUCUGGUGAAUUGGGAUGCUCUUGGGUGUUUCGAUGAACUAGGACAUUUACUUUGAAAAAAUUAGAGUGUUUAAAGCGGGCAUUUUGCUUGAAUACAUUAGCAUGGAAUAAUAAAAUAGGACGGCAUGAUUCUAUUUUGUUGGUUUCUAGGAUCACCGUAAUGAUUAAUAGGGAUAGUUGGGGGCAUUAGUAUUCAAUUGUCAGAGGUGAAAUUCUUGGAUUUAUUGAAGAAUAACUACUGCGAAAGCAUUUGCCAAGGAUGUUUUCAUUAAUCAAGAACGAAAGUUAGGGGAUCGAAGACGAUCAGAUACCGUCGUAGUCUUAACCAUAAACUAUGCCGACUAGGAAUCAGACGAUGUUAAUUUUUUAAUGACUCGUUUGGCACCUUACG
rnacentral:rRNA from 1 species